AACGAACGCUGGCGGCGUGCCUAACACAUGCAAGUCGAACGUGAUUGGAAGCUUGCUUCCAUGAAAGUGGCGCACGGGUGAGUAACGCGUAGAUAAUCUGCCUGAUGAUCCGGGAUAACACCUCGAAAGGGGUGCUAAUACCGGAUAAGCCCACGGGGUCUUUGGACUCUGCGGGAAAAGGGGGGGACCUUCGGGCCUUCUGUCAUCAGAUGAGUCUGCGUACCAUUAGCUAGUUGGUAGGGUAAAGGCCUACCAAGGCGACGAUGGUUAGCUGGGCUGAUAGCAUGAACAGCCACACUGGAACUGAGACACGGUCCAGACUCCUACGGGAGGCAGCAGUGGGGGAUUUUGAGCAAGGGGGGGAACCCUGACGCAGCAACGCCGCGUGAGUGAUGAAGGCUCUUGGGUCGUAAAGCUCUGACAGAGGGAAAGAAGUGUACUGUGGUUAAUACCCGCGGUACUUGACGGUACCCUCAAAGGAAGCACCGGCUAACUCCGUGCCAGCAGCCGCGGUAACAC
rnacentral:rRNA from 1 species